rnacentral:rRNA from 1 species
AAUUGGAGGGCAAGUCUGGUGCCAGCAGCCGCGGUAAUUCCAGCUCCAAUAGCGUAUAUUAAAGUUGUUGCAGUUAAAAAGCUCGUAGUUGAAUUUCGGGGUUAGUAGGUUGGUCAUGCCUCUGGUAUGUACUGGUCUCACUGAUUCCUCCUUCCUUAUGAACCGUAAUGCCAUUAAUUUGGUGUUGCGGGGAAUUUGGACUGUUACUUUGAAAAAAUUAGAGUGUUUAAAGCAGGCUAACGCUUGAAUACAUUAGCAUGGAAUAAUGAAAUAGGACGUUCGAUCUUAUUUUGUUGGUUUCUAGGAUUGACGUAAUGAUUAAUAGGGAUAGUUGGGGGCAUUAGUAUUCAAUUGUCAGAGGUGAAAUUCUUGGAUUUAUUGAAGACUAACUACUGCGAAAGCAUUUGCCAAGGAUGUUUUCAUUAAUCAAGAACGAAAGUUAGGGGAUCGAAGACGAUCAGAUACCGUCGUAGUCUUAACCAUAAACUAUGCCGACUAGGGAUCGGAUGAUGUUAAUUUUUUAAUGACUCAUUUGGCGCCUUACGGGAAACCAAAGUGU